rnacentral:rRNA from 1 species
GUCGAACGAGGUAGCAAUACCUAGUGGCGGACGGGUGAGUAACGCGUGGGAAUCUGCCUUUAGAUGGGGGAUAACGGGCCGAAAGGUCCGCUAAUACCGCAUAUGCCGCAAGGUGAAAGGAGUAAUCCGUCUAAAGAUGAGCCCGCGUCCGAUUAGCUAGUUGGUAGAGUAAGAGCCUACCAAGGCGACGAUCGGUAGCUGGUCUGAGAGGAUGAUCAGCCACAAUGGGACUGAGACACGGCCCAUACUCCUACGGGAGGCAGCAGUGGGGAAUUUUACGCAAUGGGGGAAACCCUGACGUAGCGACACCGCGUGAGCGAAGAAGCCCUUUGGGGUGUAAAGCUCUGUCAGCUGGAACGAAAACAAUGACGGUACCAGCAGAGGAAGCAUCGGCUAACUACGUGCCAGCAGCCGCGGUAAGACGUAGGAUGCGAGCGUUGUCCGGAUUUAUUGGGCGUAAAGAGUUCGUAGGUGGUUUGUUAAGUUUGGUGUUAAAGAUCGGGGCUCAACCCUGGGACUGCACUGAAUACUGGCAGACUCGAGUGUGGUAGAGGCUAGUGGAAUUCCCAGUGUAGCGGUGAAAUGCGUAGAUAUUGGGAAGAACACCGGUGGCGUAGGCGACUAGCUGGGCCAUAACUGACGCUGAGGAACGAAAGCCAGGGGAGCGAAUGGGAUUAGAUACCCCAGUAGUCCUGGCCGUAAACGAUGGAUACUAGGCGUAUCGGGUAUCGACCCCUGAUGUGCCGCAGCUAACGCGAUAAGUAUCCCGCCUGAGUAGUACGGCCGCAA